rnacentral:rRNA from 1 species
CUUAGCCCUAAACUUCAAUAAUUUUCUAACAAAAUUAUUUGCCUGAGAACUACUGGCCACAGCUUAAAACUCAAAGGACUUGGCGGUACUCUAUAUCCGUCUAGAGGAGCCUGUUCUAUAAUCGAUAAACCCCGCUAUACCUUACCAUUUCUUGCUAAUACAGCCUAUAUACCGCCAUCUUCAGCAAACCUUAAAAAAGAAUAAAAGUAAGCAAGAGAACAACCAUAAAAACGUUAGGUCAAGGUGUAGCUUAUGAAAUGGAAAGCAAUGGGCUACAUUUUCUCACAGAGAACACUAACGACAUUCUUUAUGAAACUAAAGAACAAAGGAGGAUUUAGUAGUAAAUUAAGAAUAGAGAGCUUAAUUGAAUAGAGCAAUGGAGUA